ACUGAUGGUGAACAUCGACCCACGACGACCAUGACGACGCUUUAUGAGUUAGACACUGCCUCUCUCUCAACUCUAAUUUCAAUAUGCUUCUACUUUAUUGCCUAUCAAACCUAAACGUCUUUCCAAAUAUUUGUGAGCCCUAUGAUAUUGGUGGGACAUGGACUACGAUUUGAAGGAGAUGUGUAGGCUAUUGAACGGAGUUGUGGCCAAUUGAUUCACAUUAACAUUGAGCAUUUUGGUACCAAUGAUUUGCUCCACUAUCACUCAAAAGUAUGUUCUUAUUCAACUUUAGUUAAAUUGUCUUCUAUUCAUAAGGUUUCUUUUGUUAUGAUUUUAUGAUUGAGAGAAAUCAACCUCAAAUAUGUACUGUAAUUGAAUGUCAUUGGAUUCCAUGGCGAUUGCAUAUUAACUUGUUUAAAAUUUAUUCUCCAAAUGUGAUUCGUUCACUUUGUUUC